AUACAAACAAAAUCAUCACUGUCUGAAAUAGAAUGAAUUAAAAAUUAGAGGUCAUCUUUGCCAGAACUCCUUUUGGAUUUGAUAUGUUGACUUAAGCAAUGACAACAGCCACAAUAUGUUGAGCUAACUGCUUAUGCAGGAACCCCAAAAUAUAAGUAAUUCUGAGUCCAAAAUUGCAAGUUAUAUGUAUUCAUCCAAGAGAAGAAUCUGAUUGAUAAAUUUUCACUUCGAAAAAAUAGCAAAUGAGUGGAGAAGGAAAAGUUGUGUGCGUAACAGGAGGGUCUGGUUACAUAGCAUCCUGGCUGGUUAAGUUCUUGCUUGAGCGAGGGUAUACAGUUAAAGCCACCGUUCGUGACCUUAAUGACCUUAAGAAAACAGAAAACUCCACGUUCACUUGAUGGAACCAAAGAAAGACUUCAAUUAUACAAAGCAAAGUUGCUGGAAGAAGGAUCCUUUGAUGCUGUAGUUGAUGGAUGAGAAGGUGUAUUUCAUACAGCUUCUCCUGUUAUUCUUUCAACAAAUGAACCUCAGGCAGAUUUGAUUGAUCCUGCAGUAAAGGGAACACUAAAUGUGCUCAAGUCGUGUGCAAAAGUUCCUUCUAUCAAGAGAGUGGUUGUAACAUCUUCCAUGGCAUCAGUUUCUUACAAUGGAAAAGCUCUGACCACUGAUGUCGUAGUUGAUGAGACUUGGUUUUCGGAUCUUGCGUUCUGUGAGUCAAAGAAGCUUUGGUAUGUUAUUUCAAAAAUCUUUGCUGAGGAGACUGCUUGGAGAUUUGCAAAGGAGAAUGGGAUUGACUUGGUUACCAUACAUCCAGGGUUUGUGAUUGGUCCUCUCUUGCAGCCCACUCUUUCUCCUAGUGUGGAGGUGUUUGCACACUAAGUCAAUGGUAUUUAUUAUUCCCUG